AGCGAACGCUGGCGGCAGGCCUAACACAUGCAAGUCGAACGAACCUUUCGGGGUUAGUGGCGGACGGGUGAGUAACACGUGGGAACGUGCCUUUAGGUUCGGAAUAACUCCGGGAAACUUGUGCUAAUACCGAAUGUGCCCUUCGGGGGAAAGAUUAAUCGCCUUUAGAGCGGCCCGCGUCUGAUUAGCUAGUUGGUUGAGGUAAUGGCUCACCAAGGCGACGAUCAGUAGCUGGUCUGAGAGGAUGAUCAGCCACAUUGGGACUGAGACACGGCCCAAACUCCUACGGGAGGCAGCAGUGGGGAAUCUUGCGCAAUGGGCGAAAGCCUGACGCAGCCAUGCCGCGUGAAUGAUGAAGGUCUUAGGAUUGUAAAAUUCUUUCACCGGGGACGAUAAUGACGGUACCCGGAGAAGAAGCCCCGGCUAACUUCGUG
rnacentral:rRNA from 1 species